rnacentral:lncRNA from 1 species
ACGAAGUGUCAAUAGGAUAAUAUUAAAGUUUCGUUAAGGAAUUUUAAUGUUUCGAUAGUUAAUUAUGAAAAAGGAUUAAAUUGCAAUAGGGAUAAAAGUUUAAUUAUAGAUUAAAGAAAAGUUAAAGGACCAAAUAGGCAAUUAUGCCUUUUUCUAAAGUUGAGGCGGCAUAAUGAAAUAAAUAUCUGAGAUAUUCUAGUUAAUAUAUAUUAUAUAUAUGUAAGUAAUGAUUAUUAUUAAUAUUUUAUAUUAUAUUAUAUUAUAUAUAUAUAUGACAAAGAAAGAAAGAAAAGAAACAGAGAGCAAAACAAAACAAAACAGAGAAGGGAGAAAGAAAGAAACAGAGAGCAAAACGAAACAGAGAAGGAAGGAAGGAAAGAAAGAAAGAAAAGAAAAGAAAAAGGGAAAUUUGGGGUUUUAAGGUUCAAAGUAAUUUGGUAAGUCAAUUUAAUCCCAUUUUCUCUUAAUUUUGAUAUUUUUUUUGAAAUCCUAGAAUAAAAUACUACUUGAUUUAAGUUGAAAUUUUGGAAGUUAGUAGAUUAUUAAGCAUGGUUCAUGUUGAAUAAAUUGUUAAAUUAGGGAUGUAUUUGAUAGAAAUUUUGAUUGGAAUUGAAUAAAGGAUUGAAUUGUAAACUAAACUAUAAGUUUUGAAUUUUAGGGAUUAAUUUGAAAUAAAUUCGGAAUUAUGAAAACAUGAUAAAAAUUAAAUAGUUAAAUAUGAGUUUAGCAAGAAAUUGGGUAGAAUAAGGGUAUGAAUUGAGAAAGAAAAAUAUAUAGGUUUAGUUAGGGGUUAAAUUGAUUUAAUUUCAAGUUAGAAGUUAGUAAAGAAUGUAAUUGUAAAAUAAAAUAUAAGUUUUGAAUCGAUAGGGAUUAAAUUGAAAGAAUCCCGAAAUUAGGGAUUUAUGGUGAAAUUGAGGAAUUAAAUUGACUUUAUAGUAAGAAUUAAGAGAGAAUAUAGAGUUAGAUUGGGAAAAAUAAAAUUAGUAUUGGUAAGGGAUUAAAUUAGAAUUUGGGUAAAGUUUAGGUAUAAAAGGAAAUAUUUUAAUGAAAUUGUGUAUUAAUGAUUUUUAAUUGUUUAAUUACGUAGCUAAUGUCGUGUACGAGUCAUUGUCCGAGAAAGGAAAGGAGAAAGUGGACAAGGAGUGACUCGAGAGAAAUUACGGUUAGUAUUACUAUAAUUCGAAUUUAAUUAUUAAUUGUUAAAAUUUAAAUUAAUAUACAUGAUAAGAAAAUUGAGAUAUGUGAAUAUGUGAAUUGUGUAUUGAUUGAAAAGUGGUUUGAAUUGAAUCGAAGUAUGAUUAUAUGUGAAUAUCUGAAAUAUGUAUUGGUAUUGAAUUGUAUAUUGAUUUGAAAGUGGGAAGUGAAUCUGAGUUGAAUUGCGAUUAAAUCGAAAGUGAAUUUGAAAUAGAAAAAUGUAUUGAAACAAAUGGUGAUUAAAUGGGAAUGAUUUGAAUUGAAAGUAUGAGAAAGUGAUUGAAUUGAAAUGUGAUUCGGA